UACGUAGGGUGCGAGCGUUGUCCGGAAUUAUUGGGCGUAAAGAGCUUGUAGGCGGUUUGUCGCGUCUGCUGUGAAAAUCCGGGGCUCAACCCCGGACUUGCAGUGGGUACGGGCAGACUAGAGUGUGGUAGGGGAGACUGGAAUUCCCGGUGUAGCGGUGAAAUGCGCAGAUAUCGGGAGGAACACCCGUAGCGAAGGCGGCACUCUGGGCCGGUACUGACGCUGAGGAGCGAAAGCGUGGGGAGCAAACAGG
rnacentral:rRNA from 1 species